UGGGACCUUUCUUGGUGCUGGUAGGUGGGUGGAGGUGCAGCCUCUCAUGUGUGGAACUGGGACCUUUCUUGGUGCUGGUAGGUGGGUGGAGGUGCAGCCUCUCAUGUGUGGGACUGGGACCUUUCUUGGUGCUGGUAGGUGGGUGGAGGUGCAGCCUCGUGUGUGGAACUGGGACCUUUCUUGGUGCUGGUAGGUGGGUGGAGGUGCGGCCUCGUGUGUGGAACUGGGACCUUUCUUGGUGGUGG